AACGAACGCUGGCGGCGUGCCUAACACAUGCAAGUCGUGCGGGAAAGUUCCCUUCGGGGAGCGAGUAGAGCGGCGCACGGGUGAGUAACACGUAGGUAACCUACCCUAAAGCCUGGGAUAACCUGUCGAAAGACGGGCUAAUACCGGAUAAGACCACGAGGGCCUCGGCCCUUGCGGCAAAAGGUGGCCUCUGCUUGCAAGCUACCACUUAAGGAUGGGCCUGCGCGCCAUUAGCUAGUUGGUGGGGUAACGGCCUACCAAGGCGAAGAUGGCUAGCUGGUCUGAGAGGAUGAUCAGCCACACUGGGACUGAGACACGGCCCAGACUCAUACGGGAGGCAGCAGUGGGGAAUAUUGCGCAAGGGGCGAAAGCCUGACGCAGCGACGCCGCGUGGGUGAUGAAGGCCUUCGGGUCGUAAAGCCCUGUCGGGAGGGAAGAAACCUCGCCGAUCGAACAGAUCGGCGACUUGACGGUACCUCCUAAGGAAGCACCGGCUAACUCCGUGCCAGCAGCCGCGGUAAUAC
rnacentral:rRNA from 1 species